UAUUGCACAAUGGGGGAAACCCUGAUGCAGCGACGCCGCGUGGGUGAAGAAGGUUUUCGGAUCGUAAAGCCCUUUUCUGCAUGACGAGCAAGGACGGUAGUGCAGGAAUAAGUGUCGGCUAACUACGUGCCAGCAGCCGCGGUAAAACGUAGGACACAAGCGUUAUCCGGAAUUACUGGGCGUAAAGGGCGUGCAGGCGGUUGCGUAAGUUAGGCGUGAAAGACUUCGGCUAAACCGGGGGAGGUCGUCUGAUACUGCGUAACUAGAGGAUGGUAGAGGCGUGUAGAAUUCCGGGUGUAGUGGUGAAAUGCGUAGAGAUCCGGAGGAAUACCAGUGGCGAAGGCGGCACGCUGGGCCAUUACUGACGCUAAGACGCGAAAGCAUGGGUAGCGAACG
rnacentral:rRNA from 1 species